rnacentral:rRNA from 1 species
AGUGAACGCUGGCGGCGUGCCUAACACAUGCAAGUCGAACGGGCUAGUGCUUCGCACUAGUCUCUUUCUGGGGUUGUUACUCUAAGGCUACCUGCUAAGGUUAUUGCUUUAAAGCAGGGGUUUUUAGGAGACUUUCCCCGAAAGGGGCCAGUGCGGAGCACUGGCCAGUGGCGAACGGGUGAGUAACACGUGGGUAAUCUACCCUCGAGUGGGGAAUAAGCUUCCGAAAGGGGGUCUAAUGCCGCAUAACGUUUCAUAACGAUGGUUAUGAAACCAAAGCCCAAAAGGCGCUCGAGGAGGAGCCUGCGUCCUAUCAGCUUGUUGGCAGGGUAAUGGCCUACCAAGGCUAUGACGGGUAGCCGGCCUGAGAGGGUGUCCGGCCACACUGGAACUGAGACACGGUCCAGACUCCUACGGGAGGCAGCAGUGGGGAAUUUUGCGCAAUGGGGAAACCCUGACGCAGCGACGCCGCGUGGAGGAUGACGGCCUGGUUGUAACUCUUCGAAGGACGAAUACCGCAAC